AUUAAACGCUGGCGGCAUGCCUUACACAUGCAAGUCGAACGGUAGCGCGGGGCAACCUGGCGACGAGUGGCGAACGGGUGAGUAAAGCAUCGGAACGUGCCCUGGAAUGGGGGAUAACGUAGCGAAAGUUACGCUAAUACCGCAUAUUCUGUGAGCAGGAAAGCAGGGGAUCGCAAGACCUUGCGUUCUGGGAGCGGCCGAUGUCGGAUUAGCUAGUUGGUGGGGUAAAAGCCUACCAAGGCGACGAUCCGUAGCGGGUCUGAGAGGAUGAUCCGCCACACUGGGACUGAGACACGGCCCAGACUCCUACGGGAGGCAGCAGUGGGGAAUUUUGGACAAAUGGGCGGAAGCCUGAUCCAGCCAUGCCGCGUGAGUGAAGAAGGCCU
rnacentral:rRNA from 1 species